rnacentral:rRNA from 1 species
AUUGAACGCUGGCGGCAGGCUUAACACAUGCAAGUCGAACGAGUGGCGGACGGGUGAGUAAUGCCUGGGAAUCUAGCUUAUGGAGGGGGAUAACUACGGGAAACUGUAGCUAAUACCGCGUACAAUAGGCUGAGCCCAAGUGGGAUUAGGUAGUUGGUGAGGUAAUGGCUCACCAAGCCGACGAUCUCUAGCUGGUCUGAGAGGAUGACCAUCCACACUGGGAAUAGGCCGCGGCCCAGACUCCUCCGAGAGGCAGCAGUGGGGAAUAUUGCGCAAUAGGGGCAACCUGUCUCAGCCAUGCCACGUGAAUGAAGAAGGCCUUCGGGUUGUAAAGUUCUUUCGUUAGCGAGACGUUAACUACAGGAGAAGCACCGGCUAACUCCGUGCCAGCAGCCGCGGUAAUAC